GACGAACGCUGGCGGCGUGCUUAACACAUGCAAGUCGAACGGAAAGGCCCUGCUUGCAGGGUACUCGAGUGGCGAACGGGUGAGUAACACGUGGGUGAUCUGCCCUGCACUUCGGGAUAAGCUUGGGAAACUGGGUCUAAUACCGGAUAGGAGCCAUCUUUAGUGUGGUGGUUGGAAAGUUUUUUCGGUGUAGGAUGAGCUCGCGGCCUAUCAGCUUGUUGGUGGGGUAAUGGCCUACCAAGGCGGCGACGGGUAGCCGGCCGGAGAGGGUGUACGGCCACAUUGGGACUGAGAUACGGCCCAGACUCCUACGGGAGGCAGCAGUGGGGAAUAUUGCACAAUGGGCGCAAGCCUGAUGCAGCGACGCCGCGUGGGGGAGGAAGGCCUUCGGGUUGUAAACUCCUUUCGCUAGGGACGAAGCUUUUUGUGACGGUACCUAGAUAAGAAGCACCGGCUAACUACGUG
rnacentral:rRNA from 1 species